UACGUAGGGUGCGAGCGUUAAUCGGAAUUACUGGGCGUAAGGAGUGCGCAGGCGGCCGAGCAAGUCGAGUGUGAAAGCCCCGAGCUUAACUUGGGAACUGCGCUCGAAACUACUUGGCUAGAGUGUGGCAGAGGGAGGUGGAAUUCCACGUGUAGCGGUGAAAUGCGUAGAGAUGUGGAGGAACACCGAUGGCGAAGGCAGCCUCCUGGGCCAACACUGACGCUCAUGCACGAAAGCGUGGGGAGCAAACAGG
rnacentral:rRNA from 1 species